rnacentral:rRNA from 1 species
CAGCAGCCGCGGUAAUACGUAGGUGGCAAGCGUUGUCCGGAAUUAUUGGGCGUAAAGGGCUCGCAGGCGGUUUCUUAAGUCUGAUGUGAAAGCCCCCGGCUCAACCGGGGAGGGUCAUUGGAAACUGGGAAACUUGAGUGCAGAAGAGAAGAGUGGAAUUCCACGUGUAGCGGUGAAAUGCGUAGAGAUGUGGAGGAACACCAGUGGCGAAGGCGACUCUCUGGUCUGUAACUGACGCUGAGGAGCGAAAGCGUGGGGAGCGAACAGGAUUAGAUACCCGCGUAGUCCCUGUCUCUUAUAC